rnacentral:rRNA from 1 species
GGGUUGUGAGGUUAAGCGACUAAGCGUACACGGUGGAUGCCCUGGCAGUCAGAGGCGAUGAAGGACGUGCUAAUCUGCGAUAAGCGUCGGUAAGGUGAUAUGAACCGUUAUAACCGGCGAUUUCCGAAUGGGGAAACCCAGUGUGAUUCGUCACACUAUCAUUAACUGAAUCCAUAGGUUAAUGAGGCGAACCGGGGGAACUGAAACAUCUAAGUACCCCGAGGAAAAGAAAUCAACCGAGAUUCCCCCAGUAGCGGCGAGCGAACGGGGAGCAGCCCAGAGCCUGAAUCAGUGUGUGUGUUAGUGGAAGCGUCUGGAAAGGCGCGCGAUACAGGGUGACAGCCCCGUACACAAAAAUGCACAUGCUGUGAGCUCGAUGAGUAGGGCGGGACACGUGGUAUCCUGUCUGAAUAUGGGGGGACCAUCCUCCAAGGCUAAAUACUCCUGACUGACCGAUAGUGAACCAGUACCGUGAGGGAAAGGCGAAAAGAACCCCGGCGAGGGGAGUGAAAAAGAACCUGAAACCGUGUACGUACAAGCAGUGGGAGCACGCUUAGGCGUGUGACUGCGUACCUUUUGUAUAAUGGGUCAGCGACUUAUAUUCUGUAGCAAGGUUAACCGAAUAGGGGAGCCGAAGGGAAACCGAGUCUUAACUGGGCGUUAAGUUGCAGGGUAUAGACCCGAAACCCGGUGAUCUAGCCAUGGGCAGGUUGAAGGUUGGGUAACACUAACUGGAGGACCGAACCGACUAAUGUUGAAAAAUUAGCGGAUGACUUGUGGCUGGGGGUGAAAGGCCAAUCAAACCGGGAGAUAGCUGGUUCUCCCCGAAAGCUAUUUAGGUAGCGCCUCGUGAAUUCAUCUCCGGGGGUAGAGCACUGUUUCGGCAAGGGGGUCAUCCCGACUUACCAACCCGAUGCAAACUACGAAUACCGGAGAAUGUUAUCACGGGAGACACACGGCGGGUGCUAACGUCCGUCGUGAAGAGGGAAACAACCCAGACCGCCAGCUAAGGUCCCAAAGUCAUGGUUAAGUGGGAAACGAUGUGGGAAGGCCCAGACAGCCAGGAUGUUGGCUUAGAAGCAGCCAUCAUUUAAAGAAAGCGUAAUAGCUCACUGGUCGAGUCGGCCUGCGCGGAAGAUGUAACGGGGCUAAACCAUGCACCGAAGCUGCGGCAGCGACGCUGAUGCGUUGUUGGGUAGGGGAGCGUUCUGUAAGCCUGCGAAGGUGUGCUGUGAGGCAUGCUGGAGGUAUCAGAAGUGCGAAUGCUGACAUAAGUAACGAUAAAGCGGGUGAAAAGCCCGCUCGCCGGAAGACCAAGGGUUCCUGUCCAACGUUAAUCGGGGCAGGGUGAGUCGACCCCUAAGGCGAGGCCGAAAGGCGUAGUCGAUGGGAAACAGGUUAAUAUUCCUGUACUUGGUGUUACUGCGAAGGGGGGACGGAGAAGGCUAUGUUGGCCGGGCGACGGUUGUCCCGGUUUAAGCGUGUAGGCUGGUUUUCCAGGCAAAUCCGGAAAAUCAAGGCUGAGGCGUGAUGACGAGGCACUACGGUGCUGAAGCAACAAAUGCCCUGCUUCCAGGAAAAGCCUCUAAGCAUCAGGUAACAUCAAAUCGUACCCCAAACCGACACAGGUGGUCAGGUAGAGAAUACCAAGGCGCUUGAGAGAACUCGGGUGAAGGAACUAGGCAAAAUGGUGCCGUAACUUCGGGAGAAGGCACGCUGAUAUGUAGGUGAAGUCCCUCGCGGAUGGAGCUGAAAUCAGUCGAAGAUACCAGCUGGCUGCAACUGUUUAUUAAAAACACAGCACUGUGCAAACACGAAAGUGGACGUAUACGGUGUGACGCCUGCCCGGUGCCGGAAGGUUAAUUGAUGGGGUUAGCGCAAGCGAAGCUCUUGAUCGAAGCCCCGGUAAACGGCGGCCGUAACUAUAACGGUCCUAAGGUAGCGAAAUUCCUUGUCGGGUAAGUUCCGACCUGCACGAAUGGCGUAAUGAUGGCCAGGCUGUCUCCACCCGAGACUCAGUGAAAUUGAACUCGCUGUGAAGAUGCAGUGUACCCGCGGCAAGACGGAAAGACCCCGUGAACCUUUACUAUAGCUUGACACUGAACAUUGAGCCUUGAUGUGUAGGAUAGGUGGGAGGCUUUGAAGUGUGGACGCCAGUCUGCAUGGAGCCGACCUUGAAAUACCACCCUUUAAUGUUUGAUGUUCUAACGUGGACCCGUAAUCCGGGUUGCGGACAGUGUCUGGUGGGUAGUUUGACUGGGGCGGUCUCCUCCUAAAGAGUAACGGAGGAGCACGAAGGUUGGCUAAUCCUGGUCGGACAUCAGGAGGUUAGUGCAAUGGCAUAAGCCAGCUUGACUGCGAGCGUGACGGCGCGAGCAGGUGCGAAAGCAGGUCAUAGUGAUCCGGUGGUUCUGAAUGGAAGGGCCAUCGCUCAACGGAUAAAAGGUACUCCGGGGAUAACAGGCUGAUACCGCCCAAGAGUUCAUAUCGACGGCGGUGUUUGGCACCUCGAUGUCGGCUCAUCACAUCCUGGGGCUGAAGUAGGUCCCAAGGGUAUGGCUGUUCGCCAUUUAAAGUGGUACGCGAGCUGGGUUUAGAACGUCGUGAGACAGUUCGGUCCCUAUCUGCCGUGGGCGCUGGAGAACUGAGGGGGGCUGCUCCUAGUACGAGAGGACCGGAGUGGACGCAUCACUGGUGUUCGGGUUGUCAUGCCAAUGGCACUGCCCGGUAGCUAAAUGCGGAAGAGAUAAGUGCUGAAAGCAUCUAAGCACGAAACUUGCCCCGAGAUGAGUUCUCCCUGACUCCUUGAGAGUCCUGAAGGAACGUUGAAGACGACGACGUUGAUAGGCCGGGUGUGUAAGCGCAGCGAUGCGUUGAGCUAACCGGUACUAAUGAACCGUGAGGCUUAACCUUACAACGCCGAAGCUGUU